AUUGGCGAAAGGGGCAGAAUGCGUGGCUAACUACCCGGGGACGGGGAUAGCCUUCCUAACGGAAGGGUAAUACCCGGCGAUGCGGCGACAUCGAAAGAAUCGCCUCGGGAGGGGGUCACGUGCUAUUAGCUUGUUGGCGGGGUAACGGCCCACCAAGGCAAAGAUGGCUAGCGGGUGUGAGAGCACGACCCGCGGCACUGGCACUGAGACACUGGCCAGACUCCUACGGGAGGCUGCAGUCGAGGAUCUUCGGCAAUGGGCGCAAGCCUGACCGAGCGACGCCGCGUGUGCGAUGAAGGCCUUCGGGUUGUAAAGCACUGUCGAGGGGGAGGAAUGACCUAUCCCUGGAGGAAGCACGGGCUAAGUUCGUGCCAGCAGCCGCGGUAAGACGAACCGUGCGAACGUUGUUCGGAUUCACUGGGCUUAAAGGGCGCGUACGCGGCUUGCCAAGUCAGGGGUGAAUUCUUUCGGCUUAACCGGAAAACAGCUUCUGAUAC
rnacentral:rRNA from 1 species